AUACGGAGGGUGCAAGCGUUGUUCGGAAUUACUGGGCGUAAAGCGCGCGUAGGCGGUCUGUUAUGUCAGAUGUGAAAGUCCUCGGCUCAACCGGGGAAGUGCAUUUGAAACUGGCAGACUUGAGUACUGGAGGGGGUGGUGGAAUUCCCGGUGUAGAGGUGAAAUUCGUAGAUAUCGGGAGGAAUACCGGUGGCGAAGGCGACCACCUGGCCAGGUACUGACGCUGAGGUGCGAAAGCGUGGGGAGCAAACAGGAUUAGAUACCCCGGUAGUCC
rnacentral:rRNA from 1 species